rnacentral:piRNA from 1 species
UAAUAACGCCAAGGUCGCGGGUU